rnacentral:rRNA from 1 species
UAGUCCACGCCGUAAACGAUGAUUACUCGAUGUAUGUUCACUUGAGAAUAUGCGUCUUAGGGAAACCGAUAAGUAAUCCACCUGGGGAGUACGCUGGCAACAGUGAAACUCAAAGGAAUUGACGGGGGCCCGCACAAGCGGUGGAGCAUGUGGUUUAAUUCGAUGAUACGCGAGGAACCUUACCAGGGCUUAAAUGUAGAUUGACAGGUUUAGAGAUAGACUUUUCUUCGGACAAUUUACAAGGUGCUGCAUGGUUGUCGUCAGCUCGUGCCGUGAGGUGUCAGGUUAAGUCCUAUAACGAGCGCAACCCCUGCCGUUAGUUGCCAUCAAGUAAAGUUGGGGACUCUAACGGGACUGCCGGUGCAAACCGCGAGGAAGGUGGGGACGACGUCAAAUCAUCACGGCCCUUACGUCCUGGGGCUACACACGUGCUACAAUGGCCGGGUACAGAGAGUUGCCACAUCGCAAGAUGGGAGCGGGAUC